UCCACUCCCUCCCGCUUGAUAUGUAAGUC
rnacentral:piRNA from 1 species